rnacentral:rRNA from 1 species
GUUGACCUCGGAUCAGGUAGGAAACCGGCUGAACUUAAGCAUAUCAUAGCGGGAAAAGUCGCUUA